AUCACAUUACUCGCCUGAGCCACAUAGUCAUGAAUCACAGAGACUGAGCAUCACAGGAUGCUGGGGCUGGAGAAGACUGCAUAGACCAGCUGGUCCACCUUAGCACAUUAGAGAGAAAAGUGAAGCCUGAAGAGAGGCGGGCUUACUUAAUUUGCUCGGUAGCAGAGUCAAGCUGCCCACUCCAGUACUCCUGCCUGGAAAAUCCCAUGGAUGAAGGAGCCUGGAUUUUAGUUCCGGGCCAGAGAUCGAAUCCAUGCCCUUAGCAGAAGUGCGAAGUCAACCACUGGACCUCCAGGGAAGUUCCAGUAAGUUGAAUUUUACCAGCAAGCAUUCUGAAACUUCAGAUUUACCAAUGAGACAUGAAUAGCAAACUGAAGAUCACUUUGAAAGCUAACGGAUUUUCACAUGGAAACAGUCAUGUUUUGAAUCUCUGAAAGAAAACUCCACCAAAUAGCCCCAGAGCCCUCUGAUCCUGGUGGUCAGAUCAGAACUUUUUCAAGCCUCUCUCCUCCUCAGUGACCUUCCUAUUCACCUUUCCACACC
ensembl:lncRNA